rnacentral:rRNA from 1 species
UACGGAGGGUGCGAGCGUUAUUCGGAAUUACUGGGCGUAAAGAGCGCGUAGGCGGUUUCUUAAGUCAGAUGUGAAAGCCUUCCGCUUAACGGAAGAAGUGCAUUUGAAACUGAGAGGCUUGAGUAUGGGAGAGGGAAGUGGAAUUCCUGGUGUAGCGGUGAAAUGCGUAGAUAUCAGGAGGAACACCGGUGGCGAAGGCGACUUCCUGGACCAAUACUGACGCUGAGGCGCGAAGGCGUGGGGAGCAAACAGG